GUGGAAAACCAGCAAGAAGUCUAAUAUUUCUAGUUGCAACAGGUGAGGACAGGCAUGUCAAAACCAGCAGUGCCAUUAUGGUUCUAGAUUUCCACCCAGAGGUGGACUGGGCUAGCCCAAAAUGAAAAGAGAGAUCCCUCUGAGUGUCACAGCAGUGCUGGACAAUCGGGAUGUAUCAGUCACUCUGAAGAGCGCAGGGUGUGUGUUGGCCAAGGAGUUUGGUUCAGUCCAACCAAUGCUGUUUUGUGUGUGGGUGCUACCAGGCCCCUCUAUGAGGUGAAGCCAGGGCUGCCCCAUUCUGGACACAGCUAGUGCCAGUCAACUCCAACGGCCCCACAGCAGGCACGGCCAGGCCUUGCUGUCAACAUGACAGCACCCUGGGGAAAAUGUGUAUAAAAGAGGGCAAAAAUGGUGUAGGAAGGUGAGGAGUGAGGCAAAGAAAUGCAUGAGAAGUGGCCCUGCAGCCACCAAGGUCAGUGCAGGAGGAGGGCAGGAGAUGCCCUCUGUGUGGAGCAAAUGCUCCCUGCAGCCCAGGACAGGGCCAUGGAGGUGCAGGCUGUCCCUCUGCAGCCCAUGGGCACCGCAUGGAGCAGAUCUGCUUGUGCAGCCAUGGAAGCGCCCGUAUUGGAGCAGGGGAAAAGUGUGAGGAGGAAGGAGUGGCAGAGGGGAGCUGUUAUGGAUUGAUGGCAGCACCCAUUCCCCAUCCUGCUGUGCCGUUUAGAGAGGUAAGGUUGAGAGUGAAGGAAUGAAGCUGAGUAUGGGAAGAAGGAUGUUGUGGUAGGAAGAUGCUUUUAGUUUCUGUCUUCGUUUCUUGCCAUCCUACUCUAUUUUUAAUUAGCAAUAAAUUGAAUUAUUUUUCCCCAAGCUGAGUUUGUUUUACCCACGAUGGUAAUGAGUGAGUGCUCUCCCUGCCUUUGUCUUGACCUAUUUUCUCCUGCUGUCCUGAUGAGGAGGGGGAGUGAGAGUAGCUGGGUGGGCACCUGGCAGCUGCCCAAGGUCUGCCCACUGCCACUGUGUUUUAUUAUCUGUGCUAACUGUGGAUAUUUUAAUUCGUCCAAAUACCUGCUGUGUAAUUUUGAUGAUGAGAUCUUUGAUGUCAGACUGUUUUCAAGGGAAAUGUAAAAAGAAUCAGAGAAGGGAAGCAGACAUAAUGUUGAAUAGAUACUCAAAUGGCAAACUGAACACAAGUAGCUUUCACUAAAAAUUGUCUUGAAAGGAUUGUAAUGACAAUGUUUCUUGAUUUUUUUUUUAUCUCGAGGGUGAAUUUUAAGUAAAAGGCAAUAAACAGUUUAAAAAUCACAAUGUCAGUGACGUAACAGUAAAAUCAAAGCUUCAAGAAUGAAAAUAAGUUUCCUUUGUUCAGCAGCCUGUAAUAGUUAGCUUUGAAAUUUCAGUCCUGAAUCUUCUGCAUUUCCUUUUAAAAAGUUUAAAGUAAAUGCUACUUUAGCUACUUGGAUUUGGUCUCCUUGAAGGGACAGAGAAAUAUAUCUUUAUGGGCCUUAUACCGUAUAUCCUUUUGUUGUAACUUAUAACAUCUUUUUCUGAAAACCAUCGCAUUGUUUGUGAAGUUUCCCAGGCAGCAGGUGGUCAGAAAUUUAUUUAUUUAUUUUUUAACAACAAAACCAAAAUCUCCUUUGUAGUCACUGAAAUAUGUAAUGAAUGGAAACUUAAUGAACCUGCUAUUAGUAUUUUUGUCAGUUUCCUCUUUUAUCUUCAAAUCCUUUUAAAUACACCUGUUUCUAAAUAAUGUUCACUUUUCCCGGAGUGUUGGCUUAAAGUAAAUAAUUUAAGGAUUGUUAUAACUAAGUUUUAAUAGUAAAAUUAUUGAAAAUAUGUACAUACAGAAAGUACUGUGACCUGUGGUUUACCAGACUAGCUAAAGAGACCAAAAGUUGAUUUAUUUUGGUGUAUGAUUUACUUUGUAAAUUCUUACAGGUUUAUUGAAGCCAAAGUAGUUACAGCAGUAAAUCUAAAAUAUAUAUAUAAGGCAAAUGGAAGAUGGUGAAAAAAUAAUUCAUAAUGACAAACAAGACAGGCUACUUUAUCUCUCUCUAUUGUCUAACAGAUUUUAAAUGUAUCCAGAGUUGUGUAACCCAUCAUUUUAAGCUGAUUUGUAGUAAGAUGACUCUGCAAUAGUAGAGCUAAACAGAAAGGAGAAAAAUGUCAAACUACAGUUUCAAAACCAUCUAAGGAGUUAUCUGUAGUAAUGAAGUGACUGGAAAUUCAGUAAGGAUGAAUGCCAAGUCCUGCAUGUGGGAAGUAAAGGAUAUUUAGGUUGGAAAUUAGGAAGAAUUUCAUCUCAUAAAGAGCGGUGAGGCAGUGGCACAGGCUGCCCAGGGAGGAGGUGGAGUCACCAUCUCUGGAGGUGUUCAAGAACCACAUGGAUGUGGCACUGAGUAACAUGGUCUAAAAUGGUCAUGGGUAUGAAUUGAUGAUUGGUUGAUGGUCUUAUUGGUCUUUCCAACCUUCAUAACUCUAUGAUUGUGCGAAAGACCUUGUGCAAGAGUGCAGACUGGGGGCAGAGCAGUGGAAGCAGCUCUGUGGAGAGGACCUGCUGGGCAGCAGGCUGGACAGAAUCCCGCAGUGUGUCCUGGCAGCACAGCUGGCUCCUGGACAAGCACUUUUUAGAUCAUGUUUGCAUACUGUGUUUAGUUUGGGGCCACCAAAAGCAAGAAAGAAGGUGGUAAGCUGGAGUGAGUUUGGUGUGGAGGGCCAAAACCAGGGGGCUGGAGGGAGGCUGAUGGAGCAGGGCUUGCUUAGCCUUGGGAAGAGAGAGCCUUGGGGGGCCUUAACAGCAGCAUUCCCGUGGCUGUGACAAGGUCAUCAGAAAGAUGGAGCCUAGCACUUCUCAGUGGAGUGCAGCAUGGGAGAAACAGAGGGAACGAGCAGAUGUUGAUGCUGGAUUGGUUUGCACUGGGGACAAGGAGAAAUCUUUUCACCGUGAGGACGCUCAUACUGGAACAGGUUCUUCAGAGGAGGUCGUGUAUUCUCCAUCCUUGGAUUGUUGAGACUAGAUGGGUUAAAACCCUAAAUAACCUCACGGCUUGUUCUACUUUGAGCAGGACAUUGGACUCAAUGACCUCUUUAAAUCCCCUCUCACCUUAAUUUCCCUGUGCUUCUAUGUGAUUUUAUUACUGCUGGUUUUUUCUUUUCUGUGAGAAGAUGAAAGACUGUUGAAAAAGUGUCAUUUGCAGGGUUCACAUUCAGUCUCACUUCUGUCUCAAAGACUUUUCACUUGUGUGACUUUUGAGUUGAUAUACAUUAAAAAGUUGUUUAAUGCAGAAGACUUCAAAAUUCUUGAUUCUAUGAUCUCAAGACAUUUAGAUUAUAACAUUUUUCCUCAAGUGAAAGUAACUCCUUGCUUACUUUGGCAAAUAGUUGUUCUUCUCGUUUGUUUUAAUUGGGGAUUGAAGGCAUGAAGUGUGCCUUCUUUAUAAAAUAAAAGCUUAUUUUACAAAUUAAGGAUGUAAUUUGAAAACAAAAGACAGUUUUUGAGUUGAACAGAUUACUUGCAUUCAAUUGCUAUUCAUUACCUGUUUUCAAUUUAUGCUUUGGCUGUUUGCAAAGACCUAAGAGUAUAUUCCUAAACUCAGCAUUAGAUGCAGUAAUUUCAUUUUCUGAUUUGAAAGUUAAGUUCUCGAACAGACCUUACAAUAGGCUCAAGUGAGCUAAAAAUAAACUCCAGGCAAUUCGUAUUAGCUGGGUAAUAACAGGCAACGGCAAAAAGCUAUGAUGAAAACAGGAAGUUCGUUACACAAGCUGCCCUUUCCAGAUAGGUAUGAAUUCUUUAAGGCUUAACUAAAAUAAUAAUCCCUCAAAGUUUUUAAUAAAAGCAGAGAGUUGCCUAUUGUUCAUAGCUCAGUGGAGACGAAAAACAUGCACCCCAGUACAUUGUGAAAGAUUUGCUGUGUUCUGGGAAACAACACUAUUUCCAUUUAGUUAUUGGUAACCCUGAUUUCAGUUUUAAGUCACUGUGGAUUUGACUCUGCACAAGGCUGAGCAUCUGAGCCCUAUCUGGCAAAGCUGCAAAACAGCAUUCAGUCUGUGGUAUGCUGAGAUUGAAAUGUGGAAGUGGCCCUUGAUUGACUGGUGUUCUGGGCUCUUCUUGAUGCUGAAGCUAUCCUCAGCACCUCCCACGAGAUACAGUCCCCCUCUGAAGCCACAGUUCCUUCUUCAUUCUCUUGGCCAGCAGAGGUAAUGCUUGUCCUUAGAAGUGAUGAGUGAUGCAAAAGCAUUGUCUUGGCCAUUCCUAAAGAUGUUUUGCUACUUUUUCAUUCCUGUGUCUAAAAGACGUUAAAAGAAAUCCCCCUAAAGGCCUAGGGCUCAGAACACAGAAGUCAAAAUGCAGUAAGUCAUGAAGGAGAACAGCAUCCCCAUCUCAGCAUCUUGGACGUGCCUAACUGGGAAGAGGUAGGAGCCAGAAACGCACUUCUCCUGCAGUAGGCUGCUUUGUUGGUUAGUGGCCAGCAGUGAGAGGGAGGUGAUUGUCCCCCUCCACUCAGCUCUUGUGAGGCCCCAUCUGGAGUACUGCGUCCAGGCCUGGGGCCCCCAGCACAGGAAGGAUGAGGAGCUGUUGGAGUGGGUUCAGAGAAGGGCCAUGAAGAUGAUCAGAGAGCUGGAGCACCUCUCCUAUGACGACAGGCUGAAGGGCUGGGCUCGUUCAGUCUGAAGAAGAGAAGGCUCUGGGGAGACAUCAUUGCAGCCUUCCUUGAGGGAGGAACUUAGAAGAGGGAGGGGGACCAAGAGUAGGGAAUUCCAUUUUUUUUCCAAGGAAAGGAAGAAAUCCAAGAUUAAAUUAAGUUCAAAUGCUGAAAUUAAUUUAACUUCAUGUUUCACUUUUUUCCAAUCUGUGCCUCAUGACCCAUGGUGCUGUCAGUCCCUUCCUAACACUGCGCAUUAGGCAGCGAGGUUGCAGUCUUAAAGGUACCGGGUGGUGUCCCUAGGUACUGAAGAACUGUCAUCCCACUGAGACCCAGUAGAUCCAAUUUUGCUCUCCAAAAUCACACUUCCUUUGUGUCAAUAGUAUUUGUUUGAGAACAGGAUGCCCAUUCGAACUUUAUGUUGAAAUGAUUGCAUGGACUUAAUUUACUUUGUUAUGAACAAUCAUGUUAUUGAGUGAGCAGACUUUUAAAGUAGUUAUUAUUAAGGGAAAUCUUAGUCUACGUUGAAAUCUCAUGCUGGUCUUACAGAUGGUAAUCAGCAAGGUCUACCUUGAAGCUUUGGUCUGUUGACUGUUCCGUUGCCCACCCAAGAGGCGUAAAGAAGGUCCUCAUUUUCCCAGCCACUUGUUCUGCUUGUGAAGUGGUAAAGUGUAGUUGUGUGUGCAAAUAACCUACCCAUGCCGCUUCCCAUUGCCUGCAUCAAGCUGAGUACACCAGUACAGUAUUGAAUGUACGACCAUUUUAUUUGCUUUUAGAACAAAUUACAGCAGCACGAGCACAUGGUUUUUCAGAAAUGUUAUUCACUGAUGUCCAGAUUCAGUAGUGAAAGAGGAUGUUGUGUAUCCAAGAAUGUUCAUGCCUCAGCCUAACUCUGGCCUUUCUUCUGUCCUGCAGCACUUGCUAAUCUUUGGCACCCUUUCAUCGCUACACAACUGGGGUCCUCCCUCACUAAAGCUCUCCCAUCUCUCAGGAGCCCACUUGUUCACAGUGAGGCUUUGCCUCUGAGGUUUUUAACAUGCUUAUGAUAAACAUGGUACAAUACAACUCUCACUCACCCUGCAUUUUUGUCAUGUGUUUGCAUGACAAAAGAAAUGUCAGUGUGUGUUUCUCCUGCCAAAUGAAAUCAUGUUAGACUUUUAUGUUUGCUCUGAUUUGGACGCUUUUUAUCUAAUGCUGCCCAUCCAAUAAAAUGACCUCAAAUUAAGAUGUUUGAAAGUCAGAAUUGACUAUUUCCACUAAGCAGGAUAGAACACAGUCAGAUUAUUAAAUAAUGACAAUGUUGAUUUACUGUUAACAAAUUCUUCAUAGAGUCUAAACACAUUAGACAGUCUGUGCAGAUGAUACUGGUGUAAACCCAUGGAUAAACUGUAGCCAUUAUGACCUUAUCACGCAAUUCCGGUUCUCAAACUAGAAAAAGCUGGUAUUUCUUGUAUAGUUAAAUGACUACCUGGUCUGAAAAGGCCCCCUAUUGCAUUUCAGAAUACAUUACUUUAAUAAUUAUUUGUUAUAUAUGACUGGAGAAAGAUUCUUUGUACACCUAUGAUACGGUUUCCUGUGAAAUCUCUUCAGAUUUUAAAAUUGGAAGUCAUGUAAUUCCCUACUUGACUAUGUUCAGCUUAUGGAUUACAAGGAGAGCUUCCACAUUUAGAGUCAUAGAAUCCAGUCCAACUGUCAGCCCACCCCCACCAUGCCCACUGACCCUCAGUGCCACAUCCACAAGGUUCUUGAACACCUUCAGAGACAGUGACCCCACCACCUCCCUGGGCAGCCUGUGCCACUGCAGCACCACUCUUUUGGAGAAGAAAUUUCUCCUAAUAUCCAACCUGAGAACCAACCAAGUUCUGCCCCAGUAUUUCCAAUUCAGUUGGAAAGUCCUUUUUUUUCCCCAGCUUUGGAAACCUCCUCUUAUAUUCUCUAGUUUUUCAUUCUGCAGUGCAAAUUGAUGUAGUUAUUCUAUUCCAAACACUAAAUUCUAGUGUUUAUCUAAUCUAAUAUUAUGUCAAUUAAUUCAAUUUCACAGACUAAUUAAAGUUUUCCCUACAUUGAACUUCAGUGUUAAUCAUUUAAUGUUUUUCCCUGAUAUUUGUGUAAUAUACUCUUGUGUCUUUCUAAAUGAUUCUACUAAUGAAUGAAUGUAAAGUUUAGACAUUUUAAGUAUUGGUUGUAGAUGUAAUAUUAACUUUGCUGUCAUUUAGCCAGCGCUCUGUAAGUAUUUCUCUUUCCUUCUUUUCUUUUAGUUUAGCAGCGUCUAAUUGUUUUGGUAGCUUUUCUCUGAACUUAAUCCAAUUUGUCUACAUUGUUUUUUCCUGGUAAUUAGUUAGAUGCUGCUAGUGUAAAAACAUUGGAACAAAUUCCACCUGUUAUGUGUAGAACCAUCUCCUUUUAUUUCUUCAAACCUGUCUUCUGCUAGCUUUCAUCAAUGGAUCCUACUUCUUGUGUCUGAAAAAAACAGCAAGCACUUGAUGUCUAGCUGCCUUCUCUACACCACAUGUAGCGUGGUUGUUUCGUCUUCUAUAACUCUCUUACGGUUCAUUUUUUUCAGUUCCACAAUUAUUUACUCCGUUAUCUUUGUAUAGGAAAGAUUUUGUUCUGCCAGUGGAUGCAGGGACGGUCUACAUUCUGUUCUUCCUAAGUAGAACUGCUUUUAUUUUUUCUCUAAGAUUCUAUUUAUUUCAUUAUAAAUUCUCUACCUAAAUCUAUGACCAUCUACAAUGCUUACCACAUAUCUGUGAGCACGUAUGCAGCUAAUCUGUUAAAAUAACACUAGUGUGACAAAGUAAAGAACUCAAAGGGAAAGUGGAGUUGCAGGAUCAAGAGUUUUUAGUGGCCUGGUCUGCAUGUAGAUACUUCUAUUUCCAUGAACUGUGUCAGGCAAGAAGUCAUAGGAAAAACUAGGAUUUAAACCAAAUGGUUUUCAUCUUCCAAGCUUUGAGUGCUACAUCUCACAAGUCGUUCUUCAAACAUUAGGGAAACAAGAAAGGAAAGGUAUAAGUGAAGUUUGUCACUUUGGGAGAAGAAAGAGUUUGAACUUAUUAUUUUCAUGUGUAGUUUCAUAUUUUCUGCGAUCUGUACUAUAUGAACACAUAGUAAUUAUAUCUGUGUUGAUUUCUGGGGUUGUCCUGAGGUUGUCUACUGAACCAGUGCUGGUCUCUGUUGGCAGUGAGCUGCAAGGGUGGCUUGAGGUGAGGGCAGGUGGAUUCAUGCACAAUGCACAGAGCUCUCCCAUACAAUGAGUGUGUGUAGCUGUCAUGUUGGACUGGCAAUGCAUAACCACUUUGUGUGUUCCCCAUUUACUAACAUACCUAGGUGAUACCAUACCUAGGUGUGGCACACUUAAUCUGCUCAAUAAAUCUUGGACAAUUUUAAAAUAAACCUUUCGUUUUCUUAACAAGAGGAAUGCUUAUUGUGAGAUGGACUAUGCUAUGAUGUGAGACACAUUUUGUUGUUCUUUCUCCUCGCUGGACCUCCCGUUUCUCAUUCUGAAUUCGGCCAUUCUGUGGCAAUUAUAUGCCUGGUCUGUGCAUGACUGCUCGUGGUUACACAUCACUUUCACAGUGCUGUUCUUGCGCUCAAAGCAGUGCCUGUAAAUGCUUCAUGCCCUCUUGCUUUCUUUCUCUUGUGAAACUGUGCCCCAACUGCUGGAAAGAGCCGCAAUGCAAGAGGAAUGGGGAAGGGCAAAACCAAGCAGCAGGUGAGUACUCACCCGUGCAGUCAACAGAGUGCCUGUUUAUAGAAGUUGUAUGGUCAUUUUUUUUCUCUUUUUGCAAAAAUAUCAGACACCAUAAUGGCAGAACUUACAAAUUCAUAAAUAUAGCCUGGUUAGGGUCUGAUUAUGGAAUGAUUAUUCUCUGAAGUGGUGGGAUUUCCUUCAUCUCACAGUGUUAUCAUGGCCCAAGUUUUAUCAAAGGUGAGAUGAGAAUCUGAAGCUUUGCUUCAAGACUAUAUGCUGUUCUCUCUCCGUGAAAUGUUUUUGAAGGAAGCCUCUGGUAAAGAUUGUUCCUUCCAGAUUAUAGCCACAGAAGGAGGCUAGGAAAACUAGGGAAAGUUUGUAUUCAGUGACAUUUAUAAGAACAGACAAUCAAACAAGAAUAUUUCUCUAUUUAUUUCAUGAACUUUUCAUUAACAAGAGUUUGAUUUCUGUAAAUUGUUUUUAGCAAUGGAGAUUUUGGCCAUACUAAAUAGUUUAUGUAAUUUUUCAUUGUUCAUGGUUCUGCUACAACAAAAAAACUUGAUCUUCUGGCAUUCAGUAAUAUUUUUGCUUUGAGCCUGUAACUAGUUGAUGCUAGUCACAAAAUGAGUUUAGUUUUUGUUAUGAAUGCACUUGGGAUACGUAGCAUUCAUUUUCACCUCAUCAAUACUUAAUCCAAAUAAACAAUUAAAUGAUUACAGUACUGUCAAACAAUAUUUGGCAAUUAUUUUGCUGAAUGAUUCAGGAAGGUGUCUAACAGUCUUCCUUGACUGCAUAUAGGAACAACUGUGAGUUUAUGAAAAUUGGAUUGGAAUUGCAAACUAAACAGCAGGACCAUAGAAACUAUAGCCUUUCAUUAUUAUUUGGGUUUGAUUGGAAAACAAUACGUAAGAGAUAAGAGGAGAAUAAUAGGCCCAGUAGUUCCUCUCAGAGAGGCUAAGAUGGUGACUGGGCAAGACUUUUUGCUUUGAGCUUUACAUUUCACCUUGAUUCUGCUUCAUGUUAGUGUAUUAGCAUACGUAGCUGGUGCUUUACAGCAUCCUUGAAUGGAUUCAGCCUACUGUGGAAUAAAAGAAAUUGAUUAAUUGAUGUGUGUUUCUCUACUUGAGGCCACUCAUGUACUGUGAUUGCAAAGGGAGAGAAAAAAGUCAACUCUAGCUGUGUAUAACCAGAAUUAAUAAAAAUCAGGUCUUGAACUUUUUCUUGACCAAUGAAGAAAAGAGAGAUUACUUGAAAACACAGACAUCCUGGGAGUACAAGUGAACAAACAGGUAUGUAAGCAAAAAAUGCAUUAUUUUUGAAAAGAACAAUCAAUUCUACCCAACUGAGCACACAACCCACAGAUCAAUUUAUGAAGAAAAUUUAUCUGACCAUUUCUAUUGAUCUUGAUAGGAGGUGUGCAAUAGGUAAUGUUACUGGAAUGUAAGGGUCAACAAAGUGUGGGAUAGAGUUGAGAGAAAGUAUUUGCUGAGGAGAGAUGAUAAUUAACUCAGUGUUUUUACUAUGGUUAGACUGAAUUUAAAAUAUCAAAUCAUUAUCUCUUCUCAGUUUAUAUGUCUUUACCAAUUUUAAGAACCAGCCAAUAUCAAUUUCUAUAAAUUAUAGGUAGAUAAUAGCAUAAUAGAUUAUUUUCUGAAAAGAUAUGUAAUAUCAUAUAGAUGUUAUUAGGUGAUGGUUUUAGUUUCAUUAGUAUGGUGAUAUAUAUUAUUUUUAUUGUUAUUAUUGUUAUUAUUAUGAUGUUUUUGUUAGUGGUGUUAUCUCAGAUUUUUGAAAGAUCUCCAGAAAAAUAUUGAAGCUGGAUUUAGGUGCUGAUAAUUUCUUCCAGCUCCUAAUGAUUAAGGGUAAUGAGUAGACACACACAUUAAAUUUAAGUGCCAUUUUCCCUUGGAUAAAUAUACUUGAAGUUUUAUUUCCCUUAGGACAGUUCCUGAUCCAAUAAUUGGUUGAGUUUUAUUUCUGACUCCCAUUGUACUCUAUGACAAACUGAGAAGAAAUUACAUGGGUUGUGUUCUCUUCAUAUCAUUAAAACUCAGAAACAGAGUGGCAAAUAAAGAGUCUCCAAAUAAAUGUAGUGUUUCAACAGAAACAAAAACAAAAACAAACAAACAAAAAACCUGCCUGAAAAUCUGAAGAAAAUGCUGGGACAAAGUAUGAGAUACUACAUAAGUAAUGAGACAGUUCUUGUCUCUAGAGACAAGAAGAGUUGGAAUUUCAACAGGACAGUUCUACCCAUGACACAGGGCUGUGUCCCUGAAUAGUAAGUUAGGUUAAGAUAGUAAACAUAGACUUUUAGAACAGUUUGGGUUGGAAGGGACCUUAAAGACCAUCCAGUUCCAACCACGGGCAGGGCUGCCCCCCACCAGCUCAGCUGCCCAGGGCCCCAUCCAACCUGGCCUUGAGCGCCUUCAGGGAUGGGGCACCACAGCUUCUCUGGGCAGCUGUGCCAGCAGUGCCUCACUGCACCCUCAGUAAAGAAUUUCUUCUCAGUAUCUAAUCUAAACUAGACAGAUAUAUUUUAAACCAAUUACAAAUAGCUGUUAUAAAGAGUUGUCAGAAUGAAUGAGCCUUUCUGGUUUGCUUCUUGGGAAGAAUUCUGUCAUGUUAUUCAGUACUUUUCCUGAGCUCAGUAACUUCCAUUUGAAGAGGGAGAAAAUACAGUCAUUGCUGGAGACUGAUUCUCCGAACUACAAUUUACUGUUCAGUGUAUUAUCAGAUUCAUGUGAUUUGCUCAGCCUUUAUCAAGGGAAAAAUACUUUCAGUAACACCCACUGGACAUUACUGAAAUCAAACGUGCUGAAUCUCACUCAGUUAUGUGCUGGAGAGAUACAUACUUUGCUGAAGGGGAAUAGUCUUUAGAGUUUGCUAUUUAAACAUUUAUUCAAAUGUAUGUAGUUUUGAAUAUUGUAACUUCCAUGUGGCAGAAGCCCAUUUAUACUUUUGAAAUAUUAUAGGAGGCACAAAACCAAUCUGCCUUUAGAUCUUUUCACAUGCCUUCCUAAUUUUUGUCUUUUUCUUCAUCUCCAGUAAAUCAUCCUGCAGAACAGAAAAAGAACACUGUCUUGGGGUGUCUUUGCUUUCCCCAUAGUCUCCUAAAGGGUGGUAGACUGUCAAAUGUGAGAAUUGCCCGUAGUUGAACUGGUGUAGGAGAUGAUUUAUGGGUUAAAGAAAUUGUUGGGCAUUGUAUGUAUAGGACCUAUUCUUUUAUGACCAUUUUGAGCUCUUAAAUGGGACUAAACUGCACAAAAACUUUUGGGAUAGUCUUCUACAAACUUCUACAGACCGUGAAUGUCCUUCUCUGCUUCUUCAUUUCCUCUUUACAUUUUCUAAGGUUGUUUCUGUCUUGAUGGUUUGAGAAAGCUUGAGGUGAAUACAGUACUGAUCUAUUCUGGCAUCCAAACAUUUCAAACAGUAUCUUAAUUCAAAAAGUCUUAUUUUUCAUUGAAGUUUAUUUGUUCUUUUAUUAAUACCUUGUUUAACACUUUUCAACCAUUCAAAGUCAAGUUGUUGAGUAUUCAGUGUUCAGUAUUGUUAAAAUAUCAUAUUUUUUAAUGUAAAGUUUUGAAAUUGUAAUUUAUUGUGAAGACAGAAAUGCAUUUAUUUCACAGUUUACAAACAAGAAAGUCAUGACACAGUAUGUGAAAUGAAGAUAAAUCCCUAAAUGAGACAUACUCUCCAUGGGUAUGUCUGAAUUGGGUUAGUUUUGCUGUGGUAAAUUCUGAGCACUACUUUUACCCGCUAUCUAAACAUUUUAUAAAAACCUUUUCCUCAUGACCUAUUUCAGUGGAAGGAUCAGCUGUCUGAAACAUUAUAGGUUAGCUUCUUCUGAUCAAUUCUUUUGAUAGGUACUUUAAUUAUCGUAACUGUUGGCUCCAGGGCUAAUCCUACAAAUCGGAAAAGAAACGUAUCAUUGUUAAGUGACAGAUGCUAAAAAAAAAAGAAGCCAAACAAGCAUUAGGCAUUCAGUUAGGCACACCAAAACUGUGAGCGUUAGGCACCAAAUUUAUCUGCCUUUUAUAUAUAUAUCUACUUUGUGCACAUGUAAUUUUCAAGAACAACUUUUCAUAUACCUGAAGCUGUUGCUAUUCAGAUAAUACUUGUCUAUGGCCACAGGUUUGAGGAGCUUGUCUCACUUGUUGUGUGAAAAAGCCCUGGGCAAUGCUUGCAGACAUAUGUGUGUCAAAGCAGUCACUUCUGCUGCCAGGAACAGUGCAGUUCCCAGUCUACUCCCAGGUCAGCUCAUUGACUUAUGUAGUAGACCUUUGGAUGGCCUUGAGCAACUUGAUUAUGUAGGAAAGAUGAUAUAGUUGGAGAGGAGGUUACAGCAAAUAACUUAGUUUCCCACAGCAAACUUAAGGUUCCCUAAACAUCAAAUAACUAAAUUAUAUGUUACUUAGAAUUACAGUCGCAUUGGACUUCUAUGCCCAUUUCAUGAGCUUUCUGAAUAGUUAGCUUUUUUUUUUUUUUUUUAAUAGCCAACAAGAAAUUUUGGAAUCCUCCCUUGGGAAAAACUGUAAUUACUUUUCUAACAUUAAAACCUCAGGUAGUAGUUCUAGUUUAAUGGAUUGCUUAAGAGAAAUUGUUUUUUAACUUCAUUUCAGGACUUUUGGAAGAGACUUAUGCUGUGGCAUUGUCUAUCAAUCGUUUCUACUCUAACAUAUUCUGAAUUUGUUGGAUAAAUUCAACCAAGCCUGAGUUACCUGUAAGAGUUCUAGAUUACUUUAUGUCACAUGAAAAUUAGGGGCAGCAUGGAAGAGAGAGACUUGAAUUAACAUACUGCUGAAGAAAGGGCAGAAAGCCGUCUUACUGAUCUGAGGCACCAAAAGGACCGGCUUCUGGGCAAUGAGAGUUGUGUAUCUGUUACGUGUUGGAAUGGUGUGACUGUAAGAUUAAGUCCCUGUCUGCUACUGGCUGGUCUUCAACAUCUUCAGAGAUGAUUCCAGGGGAUCGCUGGCUAUCUGCAUGGCAAGAAACAUUUCUGUGUUAGCUUUCAGCACACAAAUUGAUCUGUCAGAUCCAGUCUCCUCAGGCCUGUGAUUAGGUCCUUUUGACAUCCAAAACCACUCUUAAAUAAACUUGUAAAGGUAACUCGUCCUCUCCAUGCUGUCAGCUUAGUUCAAAACUUUUACACUUUUCUUCAAUUUGGAAAUCUCCAACUCACUCUUUAGUCUUAAUGUAAAUGAAAGGACUGGAGGGCAUAAUUUCACAAAGCUGUCCAGACUCAAGGUGUGUAUUUUGAAAUGGAGCUCUAGUCUGGUUUUGUAUAGACUCAAACAUGAUUUAGUGAUUUAGUUGGAAUAUGUAUCAGAAUGGAUUGAUCUGGCUAUUUCCUUCCCAUGUAUGUGUGGAGAAACUUACUUUACCUCUUUAAUAAAAGAUUUUUGGAUGCCUCUGGUACAUCUGGAGGGGUGACAGCAUCGUGAAAUUGUAUGACUUGAUUUUAUGUCCCCUUCCUAAGAACAUGCCAGCUUUGGUGGUUGGAUUAGAUGAUAUUAGUGGUCUUUUCCAACCUUAAUAAAUCUGUGAUUCUUCUAAUCAUGGUCUGUAUGAA